GUCAAUAGUUCUUGCUGUGUGGGGCUAUUUAAUUCCAUCUAAAAUGCCACUGAAAUAAAAAUAAAGGGACAGGGAUCUGGGGGAAUUUGCUGCCAUCAAAAGCCAUCCUGGAGGAGAAGUGACCGGUGAGGGAGGUGAAGUUGAGGCCUUUAAUGUGGAGGUUCCUCAGCUGAAAGCACUUCUCUCCCACCUGGGCUGCAAAGCCUUCCCCAGGCACAGGUCCAGUGGAAAGUUCAGGUGUCAGCUUUGUUCUUCAAACAACAGCAGAAGGUUCCAGACCUCAGAAGUCGCCUCAGAAAUGGAAAAUUUGCUGAGAAUGUCUCAGAGCAAUGCAGUGCAAGCAACUGAUGCCAAAGUGAGAGACACAAACAACUCAGUGAUGCCCCGGGGAUAACGCCUGGUUUAAAGCUCAUUUGUCAGGCAGUGUUUGCCUCUUAGAACCUCCCUUUGUUAUGGAGAGCAGAGAUCCAGCAAAUGCGACGUGAUUGCAGCUGGAAAAGAUGGAAAGCUGCGUUCUGACCUGCAGACAGAAUGUGUCAAACGAGACCUUUCAGCUCUGAGAGGCUCCGAGCUUUUAAUGAAACCUGUCAGGUACAGAUGAACGGUUAACCUGCCUUUCAUUCUCCCAGCUUAUUAAAAUCAUUAAAAGCCAGCAAUAAUUAUGAUCCUUUCUGACUGCUGUAUUUAUGUCAGCCCCGGGGGUCUGGUGCCUGCAGGAGGGUUCUGCUCGGAUGGGAAUCAUUGCAGAAGGUCGCUGCUGCUCCUUCCCAGCAUCGCCAAACUGGAGGUUCCUCCUCUUUGCUGUCCUUUCCAAGCUCAGGAUCUGACCUCUACAACACAAACAGGAAUUGAAAAUGAAAUCAGCUUGUAUUCCAAACUGAGCAGUUUCCGCUCCUCUGCCAUGUGAGACGAGCCAUGGAUCUGCACAGGACUAAGGGAAGAUGAUGGGCUGCAGUAUUACCUGAGGGAAGACCUAAUCUUUUAAACCAAUGCACCCUCACAGUGACAUUCUGUUAUUCAUUCUCUGGUUUUUGGCCUGUGGGUAUCUCCUCAUGACUAUUCUCCACAUUUUUUUUAACAAGUGACAUCCCUGAGAAUUCCUGGCGUUGCUCUCCCUGUUCACACAGGUUGAGUGUGUUCACACGGAUGUUUCUGGAAGUCUUGGUGUCAGUUCUGUGGCUGUGGCUGUGAAUUUUGGGGCUUCACUGAGUUCCAUUGAUUAUUGCCAACAGUGCUGCACUUUGGUGAUCUAUUCCAGAGGCCUCAAGUUUAAUGUCUGAGCCAGGUUUGUACUGAAGGACAUUUCUACAGUGGCAAAAGGAUUUUUUUUUAUACUUAACACUUAAAACAUUUUUCUACUCAUGUCACUCAUAGAACUGAGCGUGAUGGAUCUAAUUUCUCAAAGCUGAAAAUACAGACUGUCAUGGAAAUCCAUAGAAAGAAAUCCAUAGAAAGACUCCUGCUUGUUUUAUAUCAAAUCCAAAAAUCUCCUUUAUUCCUGAGUUGCUGUUUGAGCUCCUCCUUGCCAGCCAGGGAGUCUGGAGUCAAAGAAUUUAAUAUCAGACCUGGGGGUCUGACAGAUUUUAGAGGGGAAGAGGGGAGCUGAUUCUGUCUGGUUCCAUAUCAGGCAUUGACAAAGCAAUCAGUGGAAUUCUUCUUCAGCACAGAUUAUGCUGUAAAAGCAAAAAAAAACCCCCAGCAUUGAUUUGGGUUUGUAAUAAGAUGACAAGUCUGUAAUGAUCAGCAGCUUCAGAGAUUACAGAAAUGUACUUUUCAUUUCUCUGACAUGAUGUCAAUACCUUUUCCAGCUGUUCUGAACACCCUGAGAGGUUUUAUCUUAAAAUCUGGGUUUGAGAAAGAUAAGCGAGAGAAAAGGUUGAUCUGCCAUUGAAAUGGUGUCACUCCUAAAUUCUUUUGUGUUUGAUAAAAUAUAUUUUAUGAAGUGCUAUAAAGUACAAAUGGGGUCAGGGAAGCGCCUUUUGCUCCACUUUGGGCUGACCUAAGCCCUGUGUUCAGGCGAUUUUCAGAACACAACACUCAUGAGGUUUUGGGGCGGGAAGUGAGUUUUUCUCAUCUUGUGCCUUGCCAGAAUUUUUUGCCAUCUUUUUGAGAAAAAAUCAUGGGUUAUAAUGGACUUUCCUGACCCAAACAAAUCCAUGGUGAGGCUGAUGUGACCUGGUCACAGCCAAAUCCAUCCCAUGUGGGUAAAACAGGCUGAGGAGAGGCAGUGGGGCCUUUAUAUUCCUUUGGUUCCAUCCAUUAUUGAUAAGGCUUUUAGCAAUGAUCAUCUGUAAGUGCUGUGUUACACCCCAGCACGUGCCAGGGGGAUCUGUAGUAUUUUUAAAUCUGGAUCUGGAAUUUUUAAACAGAUUAAGCACGUAAAUGCUGGUGACACUUGCAGAAUUAGAUAAUCUUUUGCCCUUUUUUGGGGCUGGAAUUGGGAUUUGCAUGAUUUGUUCCCGUCUCCAUUGUGCCGCUCGCUAACGCAGACUGGCCCGUUUGUUCCCUGGGUCUGCUGCUGGUUGGACACUCUCAAUUCCCCUGGCAAUGGAUUUACUCUGGAUACACAUCUCUGGAAGUGAACUCUGGGCUGGAUUCCCCACCAGGAUUCCCGCUGCAAACACUGGAUCUGCUCUUUCGGCUCCUUUCUCCUGCCUGUGGAGCACACAAACCCUUCCUGUCCCUCUCUCUGCAUUCUGCGCCCAGGCCCCGUGAAUUUGGGGAAUUUAGCUGAAAUUCAUUUGUUUUGUGUUCAUGUCACACGUUGUUUCUGCCACAGUUGCUCUCCUUCCCCCCUCAGCGAGCGGCACACGGAAUAAAAGGAGCUUGUGUGAGAUUUGGCUCGGCCGC
ensembl:lncRNA